ensembl:snRNA U6 U6 spliceosomal RNA
GCACUCACUUUGGCAGCACAUAUACUAAAAUUAGAAUGAUACAGAGUAGAUUAGCAUGGCCCUUGUGCAAGGCUGACAUGCAAAUUCAUUAUGCAUUCCAUAUUUUU